ensembl:lncRNA
CUUGGGCUGAAUCACACUGGCUUUCCUGGCUCUCCAGGUUGCAGAUGACAGACCGUGGGGCUUCUCAGCGGCCGUUCUGGGGAGACACAGGUUCCCUCCCUGGUCGAAGCCCUGAUCACCCCAGCUGGAGAAAUAAAGCGCAGCCAAAAGAAAUAAACAGGGAGAGGACAGCGUGCGAAGGCAGAGACCGGGGCGCUGCUGCUCCAAGCCAAGGGGACCCACAGACUGCCAGCCAGACCUCGGGAGCUGGGAACAAGGCCUGGGACAGACACUCCCCCAAAGCCCUGGAAGGGACCGACCCUCCCGACACAUCCAGCCUCCAGAUGGGGAGACGAUACGAAUCUGUUACUGAGAGCCACCUGGCUUGUGAGACUUUGUUCCAGGAGCCCCGAGAAAAGAAGACAGUGGUUUUUGGGGAGCGUGGGAAGUGUGCACAGAGCCCUUGCCUGGAAUCACGUCCUGUGCCCGUCGUCCUGACAUUCUUAGUAACUUCUGGAGAGGGGCCCACGCUCUCACUUUGCACUAGGCCCUGAUCAUCACACAGGCCUUCCUGUUUUCAGAACUCUCUGGCAAGACCCCACCACGAGCCCAGACACCUCCCAGGCAGCCAGGGCCCCGCGCAGUCCGAGGCCAACUACUUGGUGGACCCGAGGCCUGGCCUCAUGGGGGUCCCAGGGCAGUGGGCGGGCCUUCCCACCACCUUGUUUCCCUAAAGACCAGCUCAGGGUGGGAACCCCCAGUACAGCCCGGGUCGUGACUCCCCUGGGGGUCCACCGCGGGGGGUGGGGGCUGAUUCCUGGUCGGAGCGCUAAGAUCUCAUAUGCUGUGCACGCGUGCUCGUCGCUCAGUCCUGUCCGACCCCCCAACCCCAUGGACUGCAGCCCGCCAGGCUCCUCUUGUCCAUGGGAUUCUCCAGGUAAGAAUACUGCAGUGGGUUGCCAUGCCUUCCUCCAAGGGAUCUUCCCGACCCAGGGAUGCAGCCUGUGUCUUCUGCGUGGGCAGGCGGAUUCUUUACUGCCCGAGCCACCAGGGAAGCCCCUCACGCACCAUGAGGUGAGGCCCAAAACUUAAAAAAAAAAAAAAGAAAAAAGGAUAACUUGGAUCAGGACUCCUGGGUUCUCUUGCCAACCCUACGUCCUUCCAACUGUGAGCCAAAUCCGGCUAAAUGUUAGACUCUGCCAACAGGCAGCUGCCAGGAGCCGAGAGGCUUGGCCACCGUCACAGCCCCUCCCUGACGCGCUGUGACCUCGUCCGACUUUGUCCCGACUCAGGUCACAUCAACCAGGGUUUCCAGACCCCCCGCCCAGAGCACAAGACCACCAUUGAGCACAGAACACUCAGGCAGUGCCUUCUGGGAGCCGGAGCCUGCCGCCGGGUAUAAGAGUCAGUUUCUAUUUAUUUCUACUCUGAAGGACAAACAGAUCCUCCUGGAAGCAGGUCACCUCACGGUGGAGGAUCUCUCAGCCACUUUUGCAGAGAGCUAAUGCGUUUCGUCCCUCGCCGGGUCCGGGAUGCUCUCCCUUAGCCUGGGGGCAGCAGGGGAUGGGAGUGGAGGACAGGGGUCCGUUCCACUGGGAUGCUGAGGUCCUGCCCGCAGCGUCAUCGUGGACAUCACAUCGACCGCCGGCGACACAGCUGGGAUGAGACC